rnacentral:tRNA from 1 species
GGCGUGAUGGCGGAGCGGUCUAACGCGUGUGACUAGAACUGCCUCAUUGAGUCAAAUGCUAUCACAUCUCUUCGGAGGCGCAGGUUCAAGUACGUAGAUCUUAAGUCA